CCCUAUCGAGCUUUACUGGAUACCGAUAGCGUUAAUUUAGAAUGAUCGAUACUAAGUAUCCUAAUUCUAAGUUAAUAAUUUUUGUUGGUAGGACAGUUUAGUUGGGGCGACUACCUUUGAAUAAGAAACGAAGGCGAGCUUAUGGUAUUAUUAAAAUCUCAUUAGCCUCACAGUGAGGGGGACACCCCUAGCUGGCACACGUAAGGGAUGUGGGCGAUAGUGCCCGAUAUGAUUAUCCAAAAUAAAUAUCGAAAGCGGAUAAAAGCUACCGUAGGG
rnacentral:rRNA from 1 species